rnacentral:lncRNA from 1 species
GUCUGUUGUCUGCAUAUACCUUUGAUAAAGUCUUGGAUCCAACUGUGCGAUCCUUGUAUUUUAAAUUUUAAAUUGGACUAAAUUUUAGGUGCGCAAUAAGCAUUUACUAUUAAAUUUUAAAAUUGAAACAUUAAUAUCCAAUGUAUCCAAGGCAAAUGGUCAAUGUUCUAAAAGACGCUAGGCGGGAGGCGGGAGGCCGAG